rnacentral:rRNA from 1 species
GACGAACGCUGGCGGCGUGCUUAACACAUGCGAGUCGAACGGAAAGGCCCUGCUUUUGUGGGGUGCUCGAGUGGCGAACGGGUGAGUAACACGUGAGUAACCUGCCCUUGACUUUGGGAUAACUUCAGGAAACUGGGGCUAAUACCGGAUAGGAGCUCCUGCUGCAUGGUGGGGGUUGGAAAGUUUCGGCGGUUGGGGAUGGACUCGCGGCUUAUCAGCUUGUUGGUGGGGUAGUGGCUUACCAAGGCUUUGACGGGUAGCCGGCCUGAGAGGGUGACCGGCCACAUUGGGACUGAGAUACGGCCCAGACUCCUACGGGAGGCAGCAGUGGGGAAUAUGGCACAAUGGGCGGAAGCCUGAUGCAGCAACGCCGCGUGCGGGAUGACGGCCUUCGGGUUGUAAACCGCUUUCGCCUGUGACGAAGCGUGAGUGACGGUAAUGGGUAAAGAAGCACCGGCUAACUACGU